rnacentral:rRNA from 1 species
AACGUAGGUGGCGAGCGUUAUCCGGAUUUACUGGGCGUAAAGCGUGUGCAGGCGGGGGGGCAAGUGGUGUAUGAAAUUUCCCGGCUUAACCGGGAAGGGUUAUGCCAGACUGUCUUUCUGGAGUGCGAGAGAGGGGCGUGGAAUUCCGGGUGUAGUGGUGAAAUGCGUAGAGAUCCGGAGGAACCCCAGAGGCGAAGGCGGCGCCCUGGCUCGCAACUGACGCUCAGACACGACAGCAUGGGGAGCGAACGGG